CUAAAUUAUAUUUAGCUACACAUAUUAAUGAAAGAAAAACAAGAUAAAUUCAUGAAAGAUAUCACCAGAUUAAUUGACGGAACAUGAUUAAAAUUUUGCAACGUGAAUCUACUGUUUCUGUUCGCUGCCUUUUCUUCUUUUAUUUUUUUUUUCAGCCGUCAACUGCCUCUCUCCUUCGCUACUUCCAAUGUGUAUGUCUAUAAUUCAGCAACAAGUAGCGUUAUUUAUGUUUGGAGUCAAAUUUCCGUGCGUAUAUAGCAAAUAAUCUUGGCUGCCAACAAUUUUUAUAUAUAUAUUUCAGCAAUAGGCAGGAUUAAUUGACGGAACAUGAUUAAAAUUUUGCAACGUGAAUCUACUGUUUCUGUUCGCUGCCUUUUCUUCUUUUAUUUUUUUUUCAGCCGGCAACUGCCUCUCUCCUUCGCUACUUCCAAUGUGUAUGUCUAUAAUUCAGCAACAAAUAGCGUUAUUUAUGUUUGGAGUCAAAUUUCCGUGCGUAUAUAGCAAAUAAUCUUGGCUGCCAACAAUUUUUAUAUAUAUAUUUCAGCAAUAGGCAGCUCAUUUCUCCUCCCAGCAGCCGCAAAAAUUGACUCCAAAUUCAAGUCCAAUUUCUCUCCCAGCCGUCACCUUUUCGUGUGUAGUGGAUGUGCCUAACAAAUAAUACC
rnacentral:lncRNA from 1 species